GGCAGAUAGGGACGUAGAUACUGGGCCCUUCCUAGAAUCUGUAACAGGCCAGGGCACCAGACAGAUGAGGACACCUGGAAACCGUGACGACCCCCGCGGCAGGAACUCCCACAGCUCAUGCUCCCCUGCCCUCACUGAACAGCUGUAUAAAAAAUGCCCCUACUCCCUCUCUGCUCAACUCCACUGGCCCAACCCCAGGACCUGUGGACCUCUCCGGAGAGCGCAGAAUAAAUUCUCCUCCUUCAAUCUG